rnacentral:tRNA from 1 species
UGGAUUGUGGCUCAGUGGUAGAGUGCUUGCCUAGCAUGUGCAAGGCCCUGGGUUCGAUCCUCAGCGCUACAU